rnacentral:rRNA from 1 species
GACGAACGCUGGCGGCGUGCUUAACACAUGCAAGUCGAGCGGUAAGGCCCUUUCGGGGGUACACGAGCGGCGAACGGGUGAGUAACACGUGGGUGACCUGCCCUUAGCUCUGGGAUAAGCCUGGGAAACUGGGUCUAAUACCGGAUAUGACUCCAUGACGCAUGUUGUGGGGUGGAAAGCCUUGUGCGGCUAGGGAUGGGCCCGCGGCCUAUCAGCUUGUUGGUGGG